UUAUUUAAUUGAAAUAAUAAUUGCCUUUAAGACAAAAAGGGGAAUCCGGUUUGAUUCCGGAGCUGUGCCGCAACUGUAAAGCCAGAGGACCGUGUCUUAGAG
rnacentral:ncRNA from 2 species